rnacentral:pre_miRNA from 1 species
AGUGAAACUGCUGGGUCACAUGGUUAGUCUAUUUUUAAAAAUAUUAGUAACUGCCAAACUGUUUUCCAAAGUGACUGUACUCAUUUGCAUUUCCACCAGCAAA